GACCGGGACACUUGGAAAGCUGCUCCAGAGCUCGUCCUCUCUGAGCGCCUCGGACUCAGUACUGAAGACGCCUAGUCAGCAGAGAUCCGGGAGCAGGGAACUCAUCACCUGCUAUUCAUCUUCCUAAAAAGGAAAGGAACAGAGAGGAGAAUUAACUUGAACCAGAUGAGAAGAAUGAGG